AGGCCCUUAGCUCAGCUGGUUAGAGCGCACCCCUGAUAAGGGUGAGGUCGGUGGUUCGAGUCCACUAGGGCCUA
rnacentral:tRNA from 1 species